rnacentral:misc_RNA from 1 species
CUUGGUCAUUGGCAGCUUCUCGCCGGGUUGGCACGGCUGAAGACGAUACAGUCGUAGGAUGUGCAACUCGGACCGUCCGUCGUUGAGAUUGCCGGGUCUAUGCGGGGUUAACUUGUGGAGCGUUCUCAACCACGAAGCACUUGACAGCUAUACUAAUUUUGUGGGAAUAUCGACGAAGUUUGAUGAGAUGAAGAUGUGGAGUUACAGACGUAAGGAGCUGCCCACGAUCAGCUGGCCGUAUAUGAAGAAGGCCGGGGUGACAGUCACCCCGAGGCGGAUGCCCUCGUCCACGCCCAGCUGAUCUGUGGGCUAGCGUAGGAUGCUCUCGAAGGCCGGUGUA